AAAACACAAAGCCAGACAAGAGUGUGAUUCAGGGUAAGAGAUCAGACUCACCACAACCCAGCUGUGCGUCCAUGAGGAGCGACUGGUCAAUGGAACUCCCAGAUGUAUUUAAGAAGCAAGACCAUUCUACUGAUUGGGGUUAGACGGAGGGCUGAUGUAUGUAACUGUAUCCGGGAGGACUAGCUUCAUUUAAUGCUUCACCUUCCCGAGAGCAGCACCUUCCCGAGUGGGAUGGACACCGUCCCUCCCUCAAAACUAUUCCAAUUAUCUAUAAAGCCCACAUUGUUUUCAGAGCACCACCUGGACAUCCAGCAGUUCAGCGACCAUAACCUGCUGUAAGCUACAUCGCCACGCCGCAUUGGGAUGGGGCCAGAGCAUACUACAGCAUUGGACAUCGCCUUCGCUAAUUUACACACCUCUACCAAGUUACUCUUAGUAACCUCAGACUGACAAAGGCGUAUAUCAUUAGCUCCUACAUGAAUAACUAUCAUUGAGAACCUGUGCUUGCCUAAGACCCUAAGAUUACCUGCUAUGUCCGGCGCCCUGGCUCCCGGUAUACACCUAACUAAAGCUGCUGGUGCCCCUAAAGUGCCUAGCUAAUUUCACAUGCCUUAAGAUAGAGUCACCUAUAACCAGAGCUCUUUCAAGUUUCUCAGCAGGUGCUUCACUGAGAAGAGCAAACCUGUUAGACACGUGAAUUGGAGAGGAGUGGUGCUCCUGUGGGCGAGCCUUAGCGUUAGCUUUGGCUUUGCGUUUACGCCGCCAAGUCAUCACCCAUAGCGAGGGCUCUAAUGUCGGAGUUGGGGGAUUGCUAACUCCACCUAAGGCAUCCAUACUUUCCCCUACAGAAACUAUGCUGCUCUCACUCUCACUAACCCUCUCUAGAGUCUGGAUGCGCACCUCUAAUGCAGCAGUCUUCUCUAUUACGUUCACGUUCACUUUCCUACUGAUUGAACACACCUGGACUCAUUCACACAAUCACUGCCAGCAAUACUUAAAGAAAGUCAUUCCACGACCACAUUGUGAAGUAUAUGCUCUGUGUAUUAUAACUGCGAUACUAAGCCUUAUUAUCUUGCUAUAGUGAUUUCUGCUUACAAUUUUUGCUCUGGUUUAUUGGUUUAUUUGUUUGUCGUUUGCCCUGGUUACUCUGUUUGCACAUCACCUGAAUGCUACCAUGCCUUAUGUUUUGGCUUUGUUUGCCUGUUGUAGAAAUAAAACUCUUAACAUCGUCUCUGCCACCUGACAUUGUGCUGAGGCUAUGGCUUAAAUCAUUAUUUUUUAAAAAUUAUGUUCUGCAUAUUUUCCAGGUUAUUUGUACAUUAAAUAAAUAAAAAAGACUGUUGCACAUUUAGCCACAUUUUUUUCCCACAGAUUUUGCUUGGCUUUAUUAAUUUCAUUAUUAUUUUAUGUGAUUUGCUGCUCACUAGGGUAGGAAGUGGUUUUGUCUAACACUUAUUCAAAGCGAUUAUACAAUCAUCUGUAUACAAUUACAUUAUAUUAUCAUGGAUAUUACUCUUAACUUUUAGGAUCUA